CCUCGCUCCCGGGACUCGCCAGCGAGGGAUGCCGCCGGCCGCCGGGGGCCUUCUCCAGGACCAGGAGAGAAAUCCUCUCUCCGCUUCACGACGCGGCCACUCCCACCCCUGAGACGCCCACCUGGCGGACUCUGAGGGAGGAUUCGGCUGCGUCUAAUACCACCUCCACCCCUCAUCCCUCACAAUGCGCGGAAAACCACAGGCGGCUGUGCGCGCAGCGUCGGCUCAGCCACCGCAGCUCCUCCCCUGGGAUGAAAAAGCACUCUGACGUCUUGAAAGCUGGCAGCUCUCUGUUUGGAAAAUCUCUGCCCAGUGAAAAAAUGUACCGACAAGAUUACUAAGUAACACAGUCUUCUGGGAAUGCCUUAUCAAUGCCAGCUAUUUGAAGAGCACCCAAAGUCAAACUAGUGCUCCGCGCUGGCAGUCUGGAAAAGGCAGAUGUAUGUGAGUAGAGAAACUGAUAGACAACUAGUUGCUGGCCAGUUGGCCUGUUUUCGUGCUACAAGCCUUCAGAAAACAGUCGCCUCCUUUUACCACGUUUCUAUUUCUAAACCAAAAUGAAAAGGACGUUUGUUCAAAAGAUA
rnacentral:lncRNA from 1 species